GUCUCCGUAGCUCAGUGGAUAGAGCAUUGGUUUCCGGUACCAAAGGUCGCAGGGUUCGAAUCCUGUCGGGGACA
rnacentral:tRNA from 1 species